rnacentral:misc_RNA from 1 species
AACGAGGCCGACCUGCGGCUGAGUUACCUGCGGAGGGAUCAUCAUCGAAUUCAUAUCCCCCUCCUCUCCCCGAGGGGGACCCAUGAUAAACCCUCUGUGCACCGCAAACCGUUCACUUUGGCAGGCUUUGGUGGUGAGCGUGAGCUCACCUCCAACCUCGCGUUCCCUCCUUAAGGGCGUUACGCGUGGCGGCCUGCCGAAGUCCUCCCAUUAAAAAACGUUUUCGAACACGUCUGAAAA